UGUGCAAAGAAGCCGAACAAAUAUGAAUAAUGGUAGAAUUGAUUCCUCCAGUUUGAUUGGUUCAUACACUUCGACUUUACAGUAACCAUAACAAUCUGAGAGUUAGCGUGAAGACUGGUGUUUCAAUUUCGCAUUAUGUUUCCUUCGGUUCAAUUGUACAGAUCUUAGACCUCCGCUCAUUAUAGCUAAGUAUUCAAUGUUCUUAGGAAAUCAUUAAUUUAUAUGAUAGUUUUUUGUUCACAUUUAUCUUUGUAAAAGUCAGUUGUGUAGUUCUUCAUACCAUGAAUUCAUUUUGUAGGAUACGAUAUAUGCCAAUGAUGGAUUCCUUUUUUCAAUCCAAUUAUUGGAUUGGCAUAUUUUGAUUUCGUUUUCUUCAUCAUCUUUGAUUGUAAUUUCCUAAUAUUUGGUUGUAUUCUUGCAGAUUUUUGUUAUGCAUAUUGAGAAUAGAGCAACCAUCUAUCUCAGUUACGAAAUUGGAGUAAGAGAUUACCUAAAACAUUCGGUUUUGAUGGCGUUGGAACCUGAUCAAAAGCAGGUGAGGGAUAUCUAGAAUACAUGGCACGGACAACUUUGCCUGCGUAAGUAGUGGUCCAGAUUUACUCUCCCAAGAGAUAAAUCUACGGUAAUGGUGCAGAUGUCUUUUGUAUUUUGAAUCCUAUGGCUCAAAAGAGAGUGUAAACAUGCUCUAAACUUCUGUUCACACACUUAACUCAAAGGUGAUGUUUCACUCCCUCUUUGGAACAAACGAAAAUCAGUAACAACAUGGGGAAGGAGAGAUAGAGGAAGAAAUAGGAGGAGAAAAUCCCUCUCGAGUUUAUCCAAUACACUGUGUAAAUCUGGAAAAGUCAAUUUUAGAUCUCCGAUUGAAGAACCCAUGUCUACAUCUGAAACAAUAAGUCAUUUACUAUCGUUUUUCCACAGAAGUUGUUCGCAAUAUAGCCUAUUUCGUUUAAGCCUGUACAUCAUGUAUUUUUGAGAAGGUUAUUGACGUGCUUAGUAAAAUGAUGCAGUGGGGAUUCCCAUUUGAUGUUAUCUUUCUUGCUAUCAUCUAUGGUAUGUGAAAUAGGAAAGGAAUCAAACAAGGGGUUCUCAUGUAAGAAAGUUCUUCUUUUUGAAGAAAAUGGCAGGAUUGAUGUUGUCCAGCUGGAAGUUUUUUGCUUUGCAAUAAAAAUUGAAGUUAAGAUAACACACUUAUAACAGUUAAACAAGACUCUUUACUGUUUUCCAAGGAGAUUAAAUUUUAAUUUGUUACAGUAAAAAGGGAGUUAGGAAAAUGAAGAAAAAGUUCGCUAAUGAACCAGAUGUGAAAAACCUUGACUAAAAAUGCUUAGUUCAAUGAGAUUGGUUAGUUUCGAUGAUAACAUUUUCAUGAUUCAAAGUUGCAGCUGCUAAUUUUUUUUCUUUUAAAUGUAUGACUCAUGGUACAAAUUGAAGCAGGACAUGGUACUCUAGGUGAAUCUGAAGCAUCGUUUAGAUGAUGGCGGCUCAAAUUAAUUACACACGGCUAUAAAGUAUGUACAUCCACACGUCGAGAUAUAGGAGUCGCACCAAAUCAGCUUUCUUAAUUACAGCGAAUAACCUACCUUUGGGAUGUCAAGAUCAUAAAAGAUUGCAUGGUGAGGAACCUAAUUAGAUACCUCAUGUGGAGCAGAAUGUGUUCUCAUACUAGGUUGUUCACUGCUGAUUCAGUAAGCAUCUAGAGGGUAGCGACGAUGGUUUAUCAUUCGUUGACAAGUACGAUAGUUGGUUUUGAUACAGAAGUUUUUAUAUUUUUUGAGAUCUCAAUUAUAUUUAGCUCCCCCAUUUGACAAUCCGAAUUUUUUUAUUUGGUUCUUUUUUUCUUUUUCUUUAUUGCCAUAAUGAAAAGUUGCACAUUUGUUAUAUUGUUUUUCA